rnacentral:rRNA from 1 species
AUGGCUCUCCAUCGCCUCACCAAGCUGAUGGUGUGCUUGCUCGCAACCACGGCACUCUUGCUUGCCGGCGGCGCGGCAGGCAAGGCUGGCCCGCCAGCUGGCGGCCACGGCACCGGAGCCCUGCCACCGCUACCUCCCGCGGCAGCUCCUCUGCGGCGGGCUCGUGGCGCCGUCGCUCUCGUCCUGCCAGAAGCCCAAGACCAAGAGAGCCAGGGCGCCGGAGCACGCCCACCGCUGCCUCCGGCCGGAGCUCCUCUGCCGCGCUCCCGUGGCACUGGAGCCCUGCCACCGCUACCUCCCGCUGCAGCUCCUCUGCGGCGCGCCCAUGGCGCCCUCGCCCUCGUCCUUCCAGAAUUCAAAGGCCAAGAAAUCCAGGGCGCCGGAGCACGCCCACCGCUGCCUCCGGCCGGAGCUCCUCUGCCGCGCUCCCGUGGCACUGGAGCCCUGCCAUCGCUACCUCCCGCUGCGGCUCCUCUGCGGCGCGCCCGUGGCGGCGUCCUGCCACCGCUACCUCCCGCCGGCGUGGAGACGAUCACGACGCUGCAGUCCGACCCGUCGCCGGCGAUGAAGAUCACUUACCAAGUCAAGGCAAAGUACAUGAACUUCCAGCAAAGCCUUUACUUGUUUCUGACGCCCAGCGGGAGGGAGGUGGAAAACGUUCGCGAGCUGGCUCCCCAUACGGGCCCCAAGAAGCAGCCGCCGAUGUGGAUCCUGAUCACCAUCGAAGGCGAGACGCCGAAGGAGGCGGUAGUUCUCGCCGUGCGGACCGACAAUGUCUACAUCGUCGGUUUCAAGAAUGCGGCGGGAGUCUGGUUCGCCUUCCCCGAGGACAAAGACCUGAUCAAAGGUUCGACGCCGCUCCCCAAGGUGCAUGACUACGGCAGCCUCGUUGGCGGCCGCAAGAAGCUGAAGGACCUCGACAUCAACCGGGACGCCGUCGCGCAAGACGUUCGCUUCCUGUCGACGUAUAGGCUCCCUUCCCGGCCGGACGAGGCCCACAACGCCAAGCUCGGUACCAGCCUGGGGAGGCUGUGCCUUGUGGUCUCCGAGGCGGCCAGGUUCAAGACGAUCAACGCCACGGUGGUGGCGGCGAUGGACGAGCAAGGAGGCCCGAGCCGGAUCACCGAACGAGACACGAAGCUCAUCGUCGUUUGGGGCGUGACGUCCAAGGCGCUGCUUGAUUGGAAAAAGGAUGGAGUAUGGAACCCGAAAGAUAGCGAGGACGUAGAAGAAGCGGGCAUCCACGGCGCACAAGAUGCCGUUAGCGCGCUCAAGGUUAUCCUUUUGCCCAUUGGGUACAAACGGGAGGCUGAGGAAGAUUAA